UUCACCCGCCGCCACGGGUUCUCCAAUGGGAGACUGGCGGCUGUUAAAGGGCCGGUGAGCCGACCGAAGGGGAGUGCUGGGCGCCGAGCAUGAAAUAUCUACAAGAGGCACGCGAACGAUGUCACAGAGCAUCAACAGCGCACAAUCCACUGACUGCGAACUUCCCAUGCACCAUCUGCAGCAAAAUGUGGACCUCUAGAAUUGGCUUGUUCAGUCAUCAGAGGGCACACCAUGAGACCAACAAUAGAUGAUCUGCACAGAUUUGUCAUCGUCGGAUCGAUGGACUACCAAGAAUGUUAUAUUCUUAUUAGAGCAUGAAAUAUCUAUCCAUAGAGAUUCUAUGGAACAUGUGGAUUCACUUAAGAUUUUUACUUCAUUUGAUUUUACAUUUUCUUUCACAUAUAGUGCCACUCCCCCCCUGCACGACCUGUUCUGUCCUUCCGAUAUAUUUUGUACCCAGGAAUGAUUGUGUCCCAUUGAUUGCUCUCAGUCCACCAGGUGUCUGUGAUGCCUAUUAUAUCAAUAUCCUCCUUUAUCACAAGGCACUGUAGUUCACCCAUCUUAUUAUUUAGACUUCUAGCAUUUGUGUACAAGCACUUUAAAAAUGUGUCACUAUU